AGAGUUUGAUCCUGGCUCAGGAUGAACGCUAGCGGCAGGCUUAAUACAUGCAAGUUGAACGGGAUUCGAGUAGCAAUACUUGAUGAGAGUGGCGCACGGGUGCGUAACACGUAUGCAACCUACCUUUAACUGGCGAAUAGCCCCGGGAAAUCGGGAUUAAUACGCCAUAAGAUCACGAAAGGGCAUCCUUUAGUAAUUAAAGAACUUCGGUUAGAGAUGGGCAUGCGGGACAUUAGCUAGUUGGUGAGGUAACGGCUCACCAAGGCAACGAUGUCUAGGGGUCCUGAGAGGGUUAUCCCCCACACUGGUACUGAGACACGGACCAGACUCCUACGGGAGGCAGCAGUAAGGAAUAUUGGUCAAUGGGCGCAAGCCUGAACCAGCCAUGCCGCGUGCAGGAAGACGGCCCUAUGGGUUGUAAACUGCUUUUGUCGGGGAAUAAAUGAUGGUACGUGUACUGUCUUGAAGGUACCUGAAGAAUAAGCAUCGGCUAACUCCGUGCCAGCAGCCGCGGUAAUACGGAGGAUGCAAGCGUUAUCCGGAUUCAUUGGGUUUAAAGGGUGCGCAGGCGGAUUGGUAAGUCAGGGGUGAAAUCCCACAGCUCAACUGUGGAACUGCCUUUGAUACUGUCAGUCUAGAGUAUAGUUGAAGUUGGCGGAAUGUGUCAUGUAGCGGUGAAAUGCUUAGAUAUGACACAGAACACCGAUCGCGAAGGCAGCUAGCUAAGCUAUAACUGACGCUCAUGCACGAAAGCGUGGGGAUCAAACAGGAUUAGAUACCCUGGUAGUCCACGCUGUAAACGAUGAUUACUCGAUGUUGGCGAUACACAGUCAGCGUCUGAGCGAAAGCAAUAAGUAAUCCACCUGGGGAGUACGAUCGCAAGAUUGAAACUCAAAGGAAUUGACGG
rnacentral:rRNA from 1 species